AUGUUAAAACGAUUGAGGAUCAAGGAGUCCAGAGAUCAGCUAGCUGCUGCUGGUGUAACCAUUUUCGAUGAGGACAUGUAAUUAUUGCACUGAGAGGUCUACCAAGUGAGUAUCAUACAAUUAAAGCAGUUAUACGUGGAAGGGAAAACCUUGUUUCACUCAGAAUUGCGAUCUCAAUUGAAGGCAGAAGAAAACUCUGGAUGAAGCUACUAAACAGAUUCCUUUGAUGUCUGCCAUGUUCACUAAAGCAUCUAGAUCUAGUUUUGAUCAUGAUGGUUGAUCAGGAAUAAAGUCUGCACCAACAAUGAAUCAAGGUUUUGCCGGUACUCUUAAUGCUUCAUUUCCAUUUAUGCCAAUGUCACCCAUGCCACUCUAAGGUUUUCAGCAGGUGCCUCAAGGUUUUAAGCAAUUGCCUAUGCCAUAUAUGACUAACGUUCCCAUGGCUUUUGUCACUCAACAUGGUUUUGGUUCAUACAACAAUUUUAGGGGCAAUAAUUACAAAGGCAAAUGAAAAGGAAGAAUAUUUUUGGGAAUAAUUCUGGAUGACAACAUAAUGGUUCUACUACUUAGUUCUU
rnacentral:sRNA from 1 species